UAUAAUCUGAAGCAAAUCUUUCAAAAAUUAAUGUCAUCUAACAUUGUUCAUUAAAAAUUUAUAAACAAAUUUAAAAUACGUAAUUUUAUAGUGUAAUAUAGACAGCCCUGAUAGUGUAUCAUCUUAGCUUGGCAACUGAAUAAUAUAUUCAACAGUAAUUUUAUAUGUACUUUCUCAGACAUUGUUCUGAGUUUCAAUAGAUUUGACAUUAUGUGCUACUUUUAAAAAAAUGCUUUUUUACGUAGCAGAUAUUAAUAAGCACUGGAUUUCUGUACCAAAUCUCUGUUAUGAAACAAUCCUUCCUAUGUUUGGCAACAAAUAGCACGUUGAUCUAUUACGCAUGCGCAAUCGGCAGCUUGUUACAUUAACUUCUAGGAGUCUUUGAACCAUUGUAAGCGAAAUGUCGUUCCACAAAAUUCUGUAUUUAUCGUUCGCUGAUAUAUCUCAAGAGAAGUAAGCAAAAAGAGUAAUACAAAAAUGUUUGCAUGGGGCGUGGUAAAGGAGUUGAUAUUAAGUAUAUUUUGUAUGCUGCCUUGUAAGAGUCUGAUGUUAACUGUACUUGUACGUAUAUGUAUCUCGAAUCCGAUUGAUAACGAGGUUCAAAUAUAGACGUACGAAUUAUCAACCCAUUUGAUUAUUACUUGCCAAUUUUGCCCAACAUGUAAAAAUAUACAUGUAUAUAUGUGAUACGUAUACGUCUUAUAACAGUGUAUCUGUGCAUGUAUCUACGUCCCGCAUUUUCAACACACGUGUCUCGCAACGCAAUUACAUAUAUUUACACAUCUGUAUUUAUUUACGAUUGUCAUGAAACACAUUUCUUCUAAUCUUAAUUACUUAUCAUGCACUACAAAUUAAUUCCUUUUUGUUAAAAAAGAAUAUUCAUUAUAUUGAAGUACAUAAGAGGCAUUCUGUUUUUCUAAAAAAAACAAGGAAAAAGAUAAGGAUCAUGGAGUCAGAGGAAUUUUAUAAAUUCAUACAGUAGGAUUUACAAUGGCUUUUAAACUUUGUUUCACCUUAUCGACGAUUAUUAUGACGAUUAUUAUUAUGAUUCAACUCAGAAAUAUAGUGUGUCUUUCAAAGUUGUCAAUAAAAAAAUGAUUCAACCAUCGCUUUGAAGUAAAAUAUUUGAAGUAAAUUCAACUUUUAUGUUAAUUUGUAACGAUAAAAGGAAAUACGAAUGUUUUCUAUUGCAUCCACAU